UACGUAGGGUGCAAGCGUUAAUCGGAAUUACUGGGCGUAAAGCGUGCGCAGGCGGUUGUGUAAGACAGAUGUGAAAUCCCCGGGCUCAACCUGGGAACUGCAUUUGUGACUGCACAGCUGGAGUGCGGCAGAGGGGGAUGGAAUUCCGCGUGUAGCAGUGAAAUGCGUAGAUAUGCGGAGGAACACCGAUGGCGAAGGCAAUCCCCUGGGCCUGCACUGACACUCAUGCACGAAAGCGUGGGGAGCAAACAGG
rnacentral:rRNA from 1 species